rnacentral:tRNA from 1 species
GCAAUGGUGGUUCAGUGGUAGAAUACUUGCCCUUCAUGUAGGAGACCCAGGUUCGAUUCCCAGCCAGUGCA